CACAUGGUGGAUUCGACCAAUGAAAGCUGCACAUUAUGAGGAGUGGGUGGUAGAUCUGACCAAUCAGUAACUUCAAAAAGGGCCCCAGUCGGUGAAACUGACAAAUCGAGGAGUCACAGCUAGACCUGCAUCUCUGAGCUGGGAACGUUCUCCUUGGAAAGAGGCUUAGGAUAUGGCUGGAUAUCAGCUCCAAAGAUGUUACCAGGUAAAACAGUCCCCCACUCCAAGCAAGAUGGGAGCCUCUGGGAUCAGUGAAACUGGCUCACCGAAACUGUGGCCAGGUAAUGAUCUACCUGAGACAGCUCCACGGGUGUCCAUACUUCGGGAUGAAGUAAUAACCUUUGGGUGACCAUGAUAAUAAGCAAACUCAGAUUCCAGAGAUGAGUGUUCCUAUGCGUCAGAUCCAUCCAUCUGUGUUCCUCAAUUGUGCUGAAAAGUGUUACAUCUAUAAAAUACAUUUUUAAAACAUA
ensembl:lncRNA